rnacentral:lncRNA from 1 species
CAUUUAUUUAUAUCCUGAUUUUUUUUUCUUUGACAAAACAAAUUUUUGAUCUUCAGUAAUGGUUUCAUCAACAAUCUUUCUAUCUGUGUUUUCUUACAAAAAGGGAGAGUGAGUGCUAGCUCUAGUGCUAGCAACUACAGCAUUCAGAAUAACAAAGAUAGGCAUUGAAAGGCAAGCCUGGAUUGACAUCAGCAGCAAAAACAAAGCAUUAUUUAUGAGGCUUGCCUGGCUACAAUUUUCCAAUGGUAAUUUCUAUUCCCUGACUCAUUCCUCUUUUAGCAUACACAUUUAAUGAAAACAUUAUGGAACAAAACCCAAAAGCAAUCUGAUGCCAAAGGACACUUAAGUGUUGCUUCGCAUGAUGAAAAAUGUUGUAAGGACAAAUCACUGUGACUGGGAUAUUAAUGGGACAAGCCAUGGCUUCCGAGUGGCUGUGGUAUAGAAUUUGGUACACCAGGUAAACAAAGCAACAGCUUUUGUCUUUGCACAACAUACAAAGUCACACCCUUAUCUAAUUGCCUGGAUAAACCUUCCCACUUUUUCCAUAAGGCUGUAGUGUUUGUUCACAGAAGCAGUUUCCCUGUGGAAAUUAUCAUGAUGGACCAGACAGCUGAGGUAAUAAUGUAACCAGAGUUACUGAACAUGUCACUGCUUGCAUUAGCAAGAAGAUUAUAUAGUUAAUCAAUCCACAAAUAGUUCCUGAGUUCUUAUUAAAUGCAAGACACACAGUGGCAAACCAGCCUAUAAUCAAAUGAGAUAAUGCUAAUGAUAGCACGUUGUUAACUGUAAAUCCCCAUUGAAAUAUGAGUUAUGAUUAUUUAAAAUGUUCCUGUGUAGCCUUCCCUCCAAGUAGUAAGACAGUGCUUUUACCUAUUCUGUUGGGAAUGACCCAGAGUCUUCUGGAUGGAAGCACAUUAUGAUUAAAACCAAGUGUACUGGGAACAGGGUCAAAAAGUUGACGGAAAGCAAGUCAUAUUCUUAUGAAGGUGCCCUCGAGAUUCCAUUACAUUCAUGACACAAUUAGCAAAUCUUUGCUCCCUGUGGAGAAAAUGGACCGAUGUGGGGAAAGAACAAAUGCAUUUGUAGAUGCCCCAUCUUUCAGGCAAAUUUAAUUUAUUAAACAGUGUUGUAAAUUAAUGGUGUUUUUCUCCUAUGCAAAGUGCAAUAUGCCUUAAGACCACCAUGUUAUCAUGGCAUUUACCUUUGAUUAUAAAUGUAUAGCAUGGCAUAACAUUGGUACAUUUUAUACGUAGAGACAUUGAGAAAUGGCUUUUACACAUUUCACUGCUUAUGAAAAGGAACUUAUACUUUAGGCUUACGCCGACUUCCCUGACUUGAGCUCUAGGCUUUUUUCUUAUUUUCUAUUUCUUUAUCAUUUACUGAGCAGCUUCUGUUAUUUUUCAUUUCUCUUCCACAAAUAGAGCCUAAACUCAAGGCAGCAUUCCUAAAAGAGAGCGCUAAUCCCAGUUACUUAUUAAGUGGGCUUUGAACACUGACAAUUCAAUGGUAUCUCUUUGACUUGUCAGGUUUGCUGUUGCCUUCAGCUGGAGGGGGUAUACAGAGAACCUCUUUUUCUCCUCUUUUUCUUUGUUUAUUUUUGCUUCACAAUCAGCAGCAGUAAUAUCAGAACAUAGACAUCCAACAACUUCCAACCCAGAUUGCUCUGGCGUGGCCUUCAUAUAGUUAAGUGAAGGAGGGUGAGACUUUGUAAACCAUUAUAUCCUUCCAAUCUGCACAUUGCCAUUUUGAUGCUAAUGUAGUAUUCUUAAAGAAUAUUCCCCAAACUGCAAGCUGCUAAACAGAUGCAUUCUCCUGACAUUCUCAUUCAAUUUAUAGGAAUUUUCAAAUUUAAAGGCACAUGAAACAGUCUUCUUGCAGUGAAGGCUCUUGCUUCUAUGCUCUCCAGUGAGAAUUGCAUACAUUUAAUGCCUUGAUAUUAAAUUUAAUUUUCACCUGCUUUAUAAUGUUUCUAAUCUAAUAAUCAAGACACCAUUAUAUUUAGCACUUUAUUUAGCACUUUAUUUUUUAAAAUGUAGAGGCCUGAAGCCUAAUUAAAAUCCUGUGAAUUUCAAAGGAACCUAGGGUAUUCUAGCCCAAUGCAGAUAAGGACUGAGAUCAAACUCUUUAAAACAGGCUUGAAAAACUCAGCAAUCCACCUGUCCAGCGUUCAUUUGGCCAACAUUUUACAGCAAGCCCAUAAAAUCCAAAGUAGUUUUGGCUUGAGAUAGUCUGUUAUAACAUGAAUAAAUCCACAGUGAUUUGGCAUUUAUGUCAGAGCAUCCUGCUAUUGUUUGGAAAGUUCUCAAUCAAGAGAGGUGGAUGCUAGAUGCUACAGGAAGAAAGCCACCAGGCAAGAAAACCUCAAUGAAUAGACAAAAUAACUAAACUUCAAAAGAAAUGAACUUUUCCUGGGUCACUCUGUUUAAAAAUAAAAAUGCAGCUUUGUGGUUUAUUUUGCAGAGUUCCUCGACAAUAUUGUGAAAGAAUAUAUACCAUCUUUAAUCAGAACAACAGUGCUAAUGUGGGUGUCACGUUAAAUUUAGUGAAGUCGCCUUUAGUUCUUGACUGAAGGCUAGAAAUAAGACCAGAUCUGUCAACUUUUCUGUUACUCAAGACCUCUGGAUAGAUUUAUAGAGGAAAUAUAAGGACACAAGCAUCUUUUAAAGUUGAAGCUCUGUUCAUCCCUCAAGGACACAUCUUUAAGUUAACUCAAAAUGAUACUGGGGCUUCAAAAGAAUAACUGUCAGAGAAAUGUUUCCAACUAGGAAGUUUCAUUCAAUUAAAAUAAAGUGAGCUGUAUUUCAUCAGAAUAGGUAAUGUUCUAGAAUUCCAAGGCAGAGAAAAUUGCAUCUACAGGUCAGGCUGCUUUUAUUUAUGGUUUUAUUAAAUUGUAUUGUUUAUUACCAUGUACAAGUUUAUAACCCACACAGUGAUAUUAUGAAAUAUAUAUUUGGUCUUUGUUCCUGUUUCCUGGCACAUAACUCCUAAAAUCUUUGAAAUCUUCAAAGUACUAAGUGUCUUUUAUAAAUGAGUCGACUGAUGGCUGGCAGUCCCUAGGUAGCCUUGGGAUAGGGCUGGGGAUUGAUCACCAGAAAGACCAAGGUAGGAUUAGAGGUUUAGGACUUUUAGGCCCACCUCCCAACCUCCCAGGAGGGGAGAAAGGCUGAAAGUUAAGUUGAUCACCAAUGGCUUAUAAUUUAAUCAAUCAUGCCUACAAAAUGAAGCCUUCAUAAAAGCCGAAUGAUAGAGUUUAGAUGAGUUUCUGGAUAACUGAACACAUGGAGGUCCCUGGAAGGUGGCUUGAAUGGGGAGAACAUGAAAACUCUGCACCCCUUCCCUCAUACCUCACCCUACGCAUCCCUUCAUCUGUAUCCAUUGAAAUAUCCUUUAUAAUAAACAAGUAAAUGUGUUUCCUUGAAUUCUGUUAGCUGCUGUAGCAAGUUAUUUGAAUCUGAAGAGGAAGUUAUGGGGACCCCACUUUAUAGCUUGUUGUCAGAAGCACAGUUAAAAGAACCUGGGGCUUGUGAUUGGCACUGGAAGUGGGGGACACUCUUCUGGGACUGAGCCUUUAUCCACCUGUCUGUGUCAGGAUUGAAUUGAAGGAUGCCCAGCUGCAAAUUCCUCUGCAGAAUUGAUUGCUUGUUUGCUGCUCUGGAGAAAUCCCACACAGCUGGUGUCAGAAACAUGUUGUGAGGGAUAGUGAGUGAAACUGAGUUUGUUUUUUCCACUCACACACUCACUCUGAUUCUUUAAAAAAUUUUUCCUUGUUUCUAGAGAACAUUAUGCCUCUAUAUUCAUUUCUAAUUUCUUAGUCAUAGGCUGUUUUAUAUAUCUUUCUCUCUAGCUUAUACUGUGAUUCUUCCCACUUCACGGAACCUUUAUAUGGUGAUCCCAGAGAGCAUUAGUGAGAGCUAAUCAUAGCUCUUGUCUGUUUGCAAAAGGUGCAAAUAUAGUUCCUAUGACAAUAAGCCUUUCAUCUGCAUGCCAGUCACAUUGCAAAUCUCGUGAUCUACAAGUGGUAAAAGUCUCAAUGUGCACAAAUUUUAUCUCGGUCAAGUCAAAAAUUUAAACAGUUUAUUUGAGGAUACUAAUACUAGCCUAAUUCAUAAAUUAUUGCAAAAAUCAAAUGACGUAUUUCUUAGUAAGCAAUUUGUAAUAGAUAAAGAAGAGAUAUCGUAAUAAAAUGAGCUAUGAUGGUAUCAUUAUUUACUAAAUCCCAGACAGAAGUCAGUACCAAUAUACGGUUGUUAUCCAAUGGCAUAUCUCCAAAGUGUUUUGGUGGUUUUGCAAGGUCUUCCUCAGCUUCUCUUCUACUCAGAGAAAUAGGAGUAUAGAGUUCCAGGUAAAAGUAAACAUUAUACUUUAAUUUCUAACUUUUCAAGUUAAGUAAAAUGCGAAAGUUUUAAGACUGAAUUCAGAUUGUUUCAAGCAAAGCAAAACUUAAGCAUGUCAUUUAGCAAAGUUGUUGAGUUUAAAUUUUCUCAGCAGGUUAAUUUUUAUUUCUAUGUUUUAAAACACGGUACUCUUCUCUAAGCUGUUUCUUCAUCCAUUUAGCAUUACUAUGUGCUCGAUGGCUUUACUACUGUAAGGACCACAAUAAUCUCAUUUACUUGGAGCCUAUUUGCUAAAGCACUGGGAAUUUUAUGUGUCUUAGUCCAUUUUGUGCUGCUAUAGUAGGACACCUAAGAAUGGGCAAUUCAUAAUGAACAGAGACUUACUGGCUUGCAGUUCUGGAGGCUGGAAAGUCCAAGAUCAAGAGUCUGGCAUCUGGUGAGAGCCUUCUUGCUUUGUCAGCCUAUAAUAGAAGGGCAAAGAGAAAGGGAAAGAGAAAACUCAUAGCUUCAAACUGUUUUUGUAAUUAGCAUUACUCCAUUCAUGAUGGUUGGGCCUCAUGACCUAAACACCUCUUAUAAGAUUCCUCUUCCUAAUACUGUUACGUUGGGGAUUAAUUUUCCAACAGAAGCUUUCUGUAAGACACAUGAAAACCAUAGCAAUAAGUUAUCCUAAAAAUCAUUUUGUUAAUUUGCUUAAACUAUUUUACAUUCAUAUUUUUACAUAAAUAUAUAAGUAUUAUAAAUCGAAGAUUCAAUUUGAAUUAAUAUUUCCAAGAACAUCUUUUUCAAAAAUCUAAAUUACAUAUGUGUUUGAAGCUAUAAUUUAAAUGUCUAAUUUGAUUUUCCAAA